rnacentral:rRNA from 1 species
GACGAACGCUGGCGGCGUGCCUAAUACAUGCAAGUAGAACGCUGAAGAGAGGAGCUUGCUCUUCUUGGAUGAGUUGCGAACGGGUGAGUAACGCGUAGGUAACCUGCCUUGUAGCGGGGGAUAACUAUUGGAAACGAUAGCUAAUACCGCAUAACAAUGGGUGACCCAUGUCAUUCAUUUGAAAGGGGCAACUGCUCCACUACAAGAUGGACCUGCGUUGUAUUAGCUAGUAGGUGAGGUAACGGCUCACCUAGGCGACGAUACAUAGCCGACCUGAGAGGGUGAUCGGCCACACUGGGACUGAGACACGGCCCAGACUCCUACGGGAGGCAGCAGUAGGGAAUCUUCGGCAAUGGGGGCAACCCUGACCGAGCAACGCCGCGUGAGUGAAGAAGGUUUUCGGAUCGUAAAGCUCUGUUGUAAGUCAAGAACGAGUGUGAGAGUGGAAAGUUCACACUGUGACGGUAGCUUACCAGAAAGGGACGGCUAACUACGUGCCAGCAGCCGCGGUAAUACGUAGGUCCCGAGCGUUGUCCGGAUUUAUUGGGCGUAAAGCGAGCGCAGGCGGUUUGAUAAGUCUGAAGUUAAAGGCUGUGGCUCAACCAUAGUUCGCUUUGGAAACUGUCAAACUUGAGUGCAGAAGGGGAGAGUGGAAUUCCAUGUGUAGCGGUGAAAUGCGUAGAUAUAUGGAGGAACACCGGUGGCGGAAGCGGCUCUCUGGUCUGUAACUGACGCUGAGGCUCGAAAGCGUGGGGAGCGAACAGG